CCCUUGGAAAUUUUCAAGACAAAAAUUAUUGACUCGAGAUGGAGAAGAACUAGGACAAGAAUGCCCUUGCUUCCAGACUCUUCAUCACCCAUCUGUGAUUCUUACAUUCAUGUGACUUGAACCAGAAAGCCAUAAUGUAACCAAACGCAAUAAUCAGGCGUGGGAAAGAAGGGAAGGAGAUUCCUUUGGUGCUUUGCUGAAAGCUGAUGUGGAUAUGAUUGCUGCUGGUAAUGCCGUGAUCAGGGGUGACCACUGCUCAGAGAGGCCUGAAGUGUUCUGUGAUGUUUUGAAUCCCAUGCAACCAUACCAGAGGGGAUGAAUUUUUUGGUGAGUGUGAAUUUGCUAGUGUAAUUCCAUCCUGCCCAUGCUGCUGGACUGAAAAUGAAGGUCACAAAUAUUCUAUAGCAACUGCCAACGUCUGGUUGUUUUGUUAUCAAGAUUCCAACAGAUCUUCAUUUUUACAGGACUAGUGCAUUUUAUAGAACAGGAGACGUUUUUAAUGUAGUAUUUGCAAUAUAUUUUAGCAUUACAAUACUGCCUGACAGUGGUGACCUAAACAAAAGUACUACGUGGAAAAGUGCCAGCCAAUGCACUUUGAACAAAAGCUGUGUGUAUCAGCACGAGGCAGCAUGUAGUUCACAUCACCGGUGGGUAGUUUUACAUAUAGAUCACAUUAAGGCAGUCUGCAGAAUUGGAGAUGUUUAAAAUCCUGACGUAAGAAGGGAGAAAAUUACGUUAUUGAAACACUGAGUCACUGGUUUAAUAUCUUUAGAAAGCCUUUCCUAUAGAAGUAAAUUCUUUAUUCCUGUCCAUUUCUGUAAGACUCCCUGUUUAUUUAUAUAUCCCUUUUGAGUGGGUAGAGGUUUUCAGGUUUUGGUGUCAGGGUUUCUGAAAGAAGCUGUUUCCACAUCAUGCAUAACAGCAUGGUUAGAAGGACAAUUACUGCAAGUUCUUCAGUUUCUGGGUGUGAAGAUCCCCAAAAGCAGUAGAAACCACUAUUGCUCCCCAUGUGCAUUGUCACUUGAGAGUAGGGCUGUUUUUUGAUUUUGAUUUUUCCAGCCUAUCUGCACCAUCAUUCUUUACACCAUCAUUCUUUAGCCACCUACAUGGAGUUCCAAUCUCAAAUUGCGUGCUUGCAUGUAGUUUUUUCUUACUAUGAACAACUUCAGACGAAAUACUACUAAAUUGUUGAAUAAUUGCAUGCAAUUGUAGGACCAAUUAAUUGGGUGACUUUAAAUCCUUUGAGUGAUGAGUAUUGAGAUAUGGUACAAUAUGUUCCUCCUAUGAGAAUGCUCAGCAGUUCUUAAGUCAGAGGUUGCUGGCAAUAUAACAAAGCAUCUGACAAAAUCAGGUUUUCAAAAGAAAAGAAAAGAAAAGAAACAAACACACACACACACAAAUUCACUCCUAAAAAAGACCUUUUAAAAAGCACAUCAGUGUCAGUUGAACAUUACUGGCCAUGUGUGCAGCUGGAUAAAGUCAAUUCUUCUCAACUGUGGUACGCAGGUCAUGAGGGAACUGGUAGUACCAAAAGAAAAUGAUUUUAUUUUCUUUAACUGAGCUUUUCCAAAGCAGUGUGAGUUAACAGACUGUGAGAUGACUGCAUGUGGAAAAGGAAAUAAAAUGAAAGCAGAUUAAUGGGUUAACUUGGUAUGCCCAAGUUUCAGGCCAACACCUUUCACAAGCAAAUAAUGAGAGAAGGGCUCAUCUGAAGCAAUUGCUUCUUUACCCUCAAAGGAGAAAGUGAUAGAAGAGAAGGGAAGGAAAGAAGGAAAGAAAAACAGAAAAAAAUGAUCGUUUCUGUACUAUUUCACAGGUAUGCUUACCGUCAAAUCUAGCAUUGUAGUGGUGACAUGAGUUCAUU
ensembl:lncRNA